rnacentral:rRNA from 1 species
ACGCUGGCGGCACGCCUAACACAUGCAAGUCGAACGAAGUAGCAAUACUUAGUGGCAGACGGGUGAGUAACAUGUAGGUAUCUGCCCUUUGGCCUGGAAUAACACGAGGAAACUUGUGCUAAUACCGGAUAAGUCUUUACGGAGAAAGCUUUAUGCACCAUUGGAUGAGCCUGCACUUGAUUAGUUUGUUGGUGGGGUAAUGGCCUACCAAGACUGUGAUCAAUAGCUGAUUUGAGAGGAUGAUCAGCCACAUUGGGACUGAGACACGGCCCAAACUCCUACGGGAGGCAGCAGUGGGGAAUCUUGCACAAUGGAGGAAACUCUGAUGCAGCGAUGCCGCGUGAGUGAAGAAGGCCUUUGGGUUGUAAAGCUCUUUCGUCGGGGAAGAAAAUGACUGUACCCGAAUAAGAAGGUCCGGCUAACUUCGUGCCAGCAGCCGCGGUAAUACGAAGGGACCUAGCGUAGUUCGGAAUUACUGGGCUUAAAGAGUUCGUAGGUGGUUGAAAAAGUUAGUGGUGAAAUCCCAGAGCUUAACUCUGGAACUGCCAUUAAAACUUUUCAGCUAGAGUAUGAUAGAGGAAAGCAGAAUUUCUAGUGUAGAGGUGAAAUUCGUAGAUAUUAGAAAGAAUACCAAUUGCGAAGGCAGCUUUCUGGAUCAUUACUGACACUGAGGAACGAAAGCAUGGGUAGCGAAGAGGAUUAGAUACCCUCGUAGUCCAUGCCGUAAACGAUGUGUGUUAGACGUUGGAAAUUUAUUUUCAGUGUCGCAGGGAAACCGAUAAACACACCGCCUGGGGAGUACGACCGCAAGGUUAAAACUCAAAUGAAUUGACGGGGACCCGCACAAGUAGUGGAGCAUGUGGUUUAAUUCGAAGAUACGCGCAGAACCUUACCAACACUUGACAUGUUCGUCGCGACUCUAAGAGAUUAGAGUUUUCGGUUCGGCCGGACGAAACACAGGUGCUGCAUGGCUGUCGUCAGCUCGUGUCGUGAGAUGUUGGGUUAAGUCCCGCAACGAGCGCAACCCUCACUUUUAGUUGCCAUCAUUAAGUUGGGCACUCUGAAAGAACUGCCAGUGAUAAGCUGGAGGAAGGUGGGGAUGACGUCAAGUCCUCAUGGCCCUUACGUGUUGGGCUACACACGUGCUACAAUGGUAUCUACAACAGGAAGCAAGACUGCGAAGUUAAGCAAAUCCCUAAAAGAUACCUCAGUUCGGAUUGCACUCUGCAACUCGAGUGCAUGAAGCUGGAAUUACUAGUAAUCGUGGAUCAGCGUGCCACGGUGAAUGCGUUCCCGGGUCUUGUACUCACCGC